CAACCCUUGACAUGCCAGGACGGUUCCCAGAAACGGGUUCCUUCUCGCAAGAGACCUGGACACAGGUGCUGCAUGGCUGUCGUCAGCUCGUGUCGUGAGAUGUUGGGUUAAGUCCCGCAACGAGCGCAACCCUCAUCUUCAGUUGCCAGCGGUUCGGCCGGGCACUCUGAAGAAACUGCCGGUGACAAGCCGGAGGAAGGUGGGGAUGACGUCAAGUCCUCAUGGCCCUUACGGGUUGGGCUACACACGUGCUACAAUGGCGGUGACAAUGGGAUGCAAAAGCCGUAAGGCCGAGCCAAUCUCAAAAAGCCGUCUCAGUUCGGAUUGCACUCUGCAACUCGAGUGCAUGAAGUCGGAAUCGCUAGUAAUCGUGGAUCAGCACGCCACGGUGAAUA
rnacentral:rRNA from 1 species